GGGCGUGUAGCUCAGUGGUUAGAGCGCGUAUCUUAUAAAUACGAAGUCGAUGGUUCGAUUCCAUCCUCGCCCA
rnacentral:tRNA from 1 species